rnacentral:lncRNA from 12 species
GUAGGUUCUUGAGCAGAAGGAUUACAAAGGAAAAUAGAAUUUUAAAAGGAUCACUUCCUGCUUCAUUAGUGUCUACCAGACCCCAAGACCAUUAUUCUUCUCUUUAUGACCCAGGGACUAAUCCAUUCAACAAACAUUUAUGCACCCCUGCUAUGUAUGAGGCACUGCACCUGCUACUGGAGACACAUAAUCAAACAAGUUUCCAUUCUUGCCUUCAAGAAACUCAAAGCCUUUCUUCGCUGGUUCUUAUUACAGGAUUUUUUGGGGAAGGAUUACUAAAGGAUUGUGUAAGAACUGGCUUCUGGUUUGGGUCUACCCUACUCACCACUGAGAUGCUAAUGUGCAAGCUCUUAUGAACAUUUAUUUUCAGGUGGGUAACUUCACUGGCUCUUCUGUGCCAAGCUUGGCCAUCAGCACCUUCACUGUGUGAUGUAAGGGUACGUAGUGGCUUUGUCUCAGAUCCACGCUGCCACUCCAUUCAGAAGUCUGGCAAUUUCAAGGGUACUGCCCUGGAUAGGGCAUUGAACUCUGCUUCUUAGGGAAACUGUUUCCUAUUCAUCCUUUUAAAUUCAAGGAAUCCAGGUCUCUCCUGGUGUAAGACUAGAUCUCCCUCUGACUUCAAAUCCCAACAUCCCCCACCAUCCACAAAUGGGACAAUUUACUUUAUUCCCAUUGUAGCCCUGAAAGCCACAAACUAUUAACACUUCCCUGGUCAAGAGAACCCAGCAUUUAGAAAAGAGAGGCCAAGUAUUAUUUCUACUUGAGGAAAUGACCUUUUCAUUCUUUUGCUAAUGAAUCCAUUUAGUGGUGGGAGAAAUUCAUUAAAAUUUGUUUAUUUGUUUGUUACUACUUAUCAAUGACUGUAGAUUUUCACAGACAUAACAAG